rnacentral:rRNA from 1 species
GACGAACGCUGGCGGCGUGCCUAAUACAUGCAAGUUGAGCGCUGAAGGUUGGUACUUGUACCGACUGGAUGAGCAGCGAACGGGUGAGUAACGCGUGGGGAAUCUGCCUUUGAGCGGGGGACAACAUUUGGAAACGAAUGCUAAUACCGCAUAAAAACUUUAAACACAAGUUUUAAGUUUGAAAGAUGCAAUUGCAUCACUCAAAGAUGAUCCCGCGUUGUAUUAGCUAGUUGGUGAGGUAAAGGCUCACCAAGGCGAUGAUACAUAGCCGACCUGAGAGGGUGAUCGGCCACAUUGGGACUGAGACACGGCCCAAACUCCUACGGGAGGCAGCAGUAGGGAAUCUUCGGCAAUGGACGAAAGUCUGACCGAGCAACGCCGCGUGAGUGAAGAAGGGUGUCGGAUCGUAAAACUCGGUUGGUAGAGAAGAACGUUGGUGAGAGUGGAAAGCUCAUCAAGUGACGGUAACUACACAGAAAGGGACGGCUAACUACGUG